GACGAACGCUGGCGGCGUGCUUAACACAUGCAAGUCGAACGGAAAGGCCCUGCUUUUGUGGGGUGCUCGAGUGGCGAACGGGUGAGUAACACGUGAGUAACCUGCCCUUGACUUUGGGAUAACUUCAGGAAACUGGGGCUAAUACCGGAUAGGAGCUCCUGCUGCAUGGUGGGGGUUGGAAAGUUUCGGCGGUUGGGGAUGGACUCGCGGCUUAUCAGCUUGUUGGUGGGGUAGUGGCUUACCAAGGCUUUGACGGGUAGCCGGCCUGAGAGGGUGACCGGCCAAAUUGGGACUGAGAUAAGGCCCAGAAUCCUACGGGGGGGAGCAGUGGGGAAUAUUGGACAAUGGGCGGAAGCCUGAUGCAGCAACGCCGCGUGCGGGAUGAAGGCCUUCGGGUUGUAAACCGCUUUCGCCUGUGACGAAGCGGGGGUGACGGUAAUGGGUAAAGAAGCAACGGCUAACUACGUG
rnacentral:rRNA from 1 species